UCCGUGUUGACAGUUCAUUGAAGAAAACCCAAUAUUGUACAAGAAAAAAAAUAUAUUGAAAAUGAAAAUGCUUGUAUGCAACAUCAAAGCAUAAGGCUAUCUCGACCAAAAUUAAACAAAGAAAUAUGAUUCUAUGAUGCAAUGAAUUUGACUCUAAAAGAAACCAAUGUUUUUGACAAAAACUAAGUCUGUGAUAACCCAAAAUGUAUUUUUUUUUUGAAUAUUCAAAAUUUGUUAUGCCAAGGCAAAAAAAAUGAAAAAUAUUUAUUUUGAUCAUGAUCGAUAAAAUAAUUGUUCAGUACAACCUUUCACGACGAAACCAACAAAUGCUGCUGUAAAAUUCUCUUCGGAUCCAAAGAAAACCAAUCCAGUUUCCAUCACAGGAACCAUGUUCUUGAUUCUCUGGUAGAUAUCAUCAUGUGCAGAAUACUACUUCACUUUUCUGGUGAAAUUGAAUAUCAUAGUUGAUAAAAUUACUUUUACAACGAAGAUUACCUAUUCAGAUUGAUGUCUAUUUCAACAUAAUUUCAUAAAUUUACAUAUUCAGCUAAGUGAUACUAGACGUGCCAACUCAACGAAGUUCCUUUCGAAGUGACUUUUGAAAAAUGGAAAAUUUUGAUGAUUAUUACCA
rnacentral:lncRNA from 1 species